GACGGGUGAGCAAUACUUGGGUAUCUGCCCAAUAGUGGGGGACAACACGGGGAAACUCGUGCUAAUACCGCAUACGCCCUACGGGGGAAAGCAGGCUUCGGCUUGCGCUAUCGGAUGAGCCCAAGUCGGAUUAGCUAGUUGGUGAGAUAAAAGCUCACCAAGGCGACGAUCCGUAACUGGUCUGAGAGGAUGAUCAGUCACACCGGAACUGAGACACGGUCCGGACUCCUACGGGAGGCAGCAGUGGGGAAUAUUGGACAAUGGGGGCAACCCUGAUCCAGCCAUGCCGCGUGUGUGAAGAAGGCCUUAGGGUUGUAAAGCACUUUCAGUGAGGAGGAAAAGUUAAUGGUUAAUACCCAUUAGCCGUGACGUUACUCACAGAAGAAGCACCGGCAAACUCCGUGCCAGCAGCCGCGGUAAUACGGAGGGUGCGAGCGUUAAUCGGAAUUACUGGGCGUAAAGCGCGCGUAGGCGGUUUGUUAAGCCGGGUUGUGAAAUCCCUAGGCUCAACCUAGGAACUGCACCCGGAACUGGCCAGCUAGAGUACAGUAGAGGAAGGUGGAAUUCCAAGUGUAGCGGUGAAAUGCGUAGAUAUUUGGAGGAACAUCAGUGGCGAAGGCGGCCUUCUGGACUGAUACUGACGCUGAGGUGCGAAAGCGUGGGGAGCAAACAGGAUUAGAUACCCUGGUAGUCCACGCCGUAAACGAUGUCAACUAGUUGUUGGACUCCUUGAGAUUUUAGUAACGCAGCUAACGCAUUAAGUUGACCGCCUGGGGAGUACGGCCGCAAGGUUAAACUCAAAUGAAUGACGGGAACGCACA
rnacentral:rRNA from 1 species